AGGCUUAACACAUGCAAGUCGAGGGGCAGCGAGAAGAAAGCUUGCUUUCUUUGUCGGCGACCGGCGCACGGGUGAGUAACGCGUAUCCAACCUUCCCUAUACUAAGGAAUAGCCCGGCGAAAGUCGGAUUAAUGCCUUAUGUUCUCCUUUGAUGGCAUCAGACGAGGAGCAAAGAUUGAUCGGUAUAGGAUGGGGAUGCGUCUGAUUAGGUUGUUGGCGGGGUAACGGCCCACCCAAGCCAUCGAUCAGUAGGGGUUCUGAGAGGAAGGUCCCCCACAUUGGUACUGAGACACGGACCAAACUCCUACGGGAGGCAGCAGUGAGGAAUAUUGGUCAAUGGACGAGAGUCUGAACCAGCCAAGUAGCGUGCAGGACGACUGCCCUAUGGGUUGUAAACUGCUUUUAUAGGGGAAUAAAGUGGAGUACGUGUACUUUUUUGUAUGUACCCUAUGAAUAAGGACCGGCUAAUUCCGUGCCAGCAGCCGCGGUAAUACGGAAGGUCCGGGCGUUAUCCGGAUUUAUUGGGUUUAAAGGGAGCGCAGGCGGGACUUUAAGCGUGUUGUGAAAUGUGGCGGCUCAACCGCCGAACUGCAGCGCGAACUGGGGUUCU
rnacentral:rRNA from 1 species